rnacentral:lncRNA from 1 species
CUGCUUCAGGAACAGGUUCGCCAUCUUUCUCCCUCUCGCUCGCUCGUGCGCGCUCGUGUGUGUUCGUUGCCUGUGGGCUGAAGGGAGGAGAUGGAUGCUUAUUUUUCUAUGAUGAUGAUACUUUGUGUCCACUGCACGUAGUACUUUAUAGAGAGGUUCGGCUUGGACGUGCUUUCUUGGCAAAUACGUGCCAUGCUUUCUUCCCAAGCUAUCUCCUGACUCCUCACUGGAUCCGGUUGGUUGGAGCGUCGUGGAGAACAAGUUCGCUCGCACGUGUCUUGUGUUGCCACAGGAAAGUUCGUGCAAACUUCCUCUUGGUUUGUCCUCAGAUACGCCCCGCCCUGGGCGAGUCUUUUUCCUCCCACUCGUUGCAUUGCAGCCCAGGCAAACUCUUGCGAUCUCUCACCGAAUCCCAUCCGCGCCGCCACUGCAUCUCUUUUCUCUGGCUCCAGGGAAGUUCACGUUGCCCCCUAGAUUUAUCCUUAAGAGUGUUUUUUUUUCUUCUUUUUGGGGGUGAAAAUCUAUCCUAUGCUCAAAAAAAACUCUACACUUUUAUGUAGUUCAACCGGAAAACCUUUAUCCUUUCAAAGCUCACUUUCAUUUCAUUUUUUAGAUAAAGCAAUCACCAUAUUCACACAACAAAUGGCAUCGAAGAAAUAUUUCUUCCGCUAUGGUUCCUUCUUCAUUAAGGAUGGCUCAGAAAUUAGAUUCUUGGAGGAUAAGUGACAAGGUAAUGCUACACUCCAUGAACAAUAUCCAGCCCUAUACAAUAUUGUGCUUCACAAGGGUGAUGCUAUCGCCAAGGUUUUGGAAUCAUUUCCGCCAAAUGUGAUGUUCAGAAGGGAUUUAAUUGGACCUAGACUCUAAUCAUGGAACAUACUACUCCAGCGGCUAGCCACGGUACAUUUGUCACAAGGGUCCGAUGUAUUUCGUUGGAACCUACAUGGGAAUGGGAAAUUCUCAGUGGAUUCUAUGUAUAGAGCUUUGAUCCAGUCUACCGUGUCGGUUGAUAUUAAUAAGAAGAUCUGGAAGAUGAACAUACCUCUUAAGAAUAAAAUCUUUGCAUAUAUCUUCGUCACGGAGUCAUUCUUGCAAAAGAUAACCUGGUUAAGAGGAAUUGGCAUGGAAGUACACAAUGUGUCUUUUGUCCGCAUGAUGAGAUAAUAAAACAUUUAUUCUUCCAAUGUAAAUUGGCUCUUUCUAUAUGGUCAGUCAUCCAAAUAGCUUUUGUCUUGUAUCCUCCUUGUAGUGUUGCUAAUAUAUUUGGCAACUGGCUACAUGAGAUUGAUCAGAAGUUUAGAAUUCUUUUCAGGGUGGGAGCGCUUGCCGUGAUUUGGUCGCUUUGGCUAUGUAGAAAUGAUAAGGUUUUUAGUAAUAAAAGUACUUCUCUUAUGCAGGUUAUCUACAGAUGUUCCUGGACUCUUCGUUUAUGGUCCUCUCUACAAUGAGUGGAGAUUCGAGACCUAUUUAUGGAGGUGUCUACACGAUUGGAGGCUACGGCGAGGGAUAUUUUUAUCCAACGUGGGUGGCAGCAUGAUCUUAGGAUUGGGCCACCUUCAGUUUAGGCAUUAUACAAGAUUCAUUUUUCCUUGUAUAUUGCCUUAUUCUUUUAUUUUGGCUUGUUGUGAGGAUUUUAUAGGUUGUGUGCAUCUUAAUUAUGCAGAGGCCGGGUUUAAUGCUUAAACCUUUUAAGUAAUAAAGCGCCCCUUUUCAAAAAAAA